GUCUUUUGGUUAUUUUAUAAAGGUGUAUUAUAGUAAAUAAUUAAAAAGGGGUUUUGUUUUAAAAAAAGUUUUUGAACGAGGCCACUUUUUACAAAAUGACCUCGAACAAAAAAGUUUGCACAAAGGGGUGUAAGUCUAUAGAGAAAAAAAAGAAUUUUUUUCCUAUGAUGAUCCUUCCGCAGGUUCACCUACGGAAA
rnacentral:misc_RNA from 1 species